GGACUGAAGGUGCCCAGUAGUAGAGAAGCCUGAGUAUCAAGUCACCGCAAAAGUCUACAGUAAAAGCUGAUAGGACCACUCAAGCAUUCUGGAAAAUCAUGACUGGCAGCGAGAGUCCAUGUACACUUGGAGUCUCCACUCUCUUGAGAGAAAUGCUUUACCAUGUCCAUGAGAA